rnacentral:rRNA from 1 species
CCUACGGGAGGCAGCAGUGGGGAAUCUUGCGCAAUGGGCGAAAGCCUGACGCAGCAACGCCGUGUGCGGGAAGAAGGCUCUCGGGUUGUAAACCGCUUUCAGCAGGAACGAAAAUGACGGUACUUGCAGAAGAAGGUGCGGCCAACUACGUGCCAGCAGCCGCGGUGACACGUAGGCACCAAGCGUUGUCCGGAUUUAUUGGGCGUAAAGAGCUCGUAGGCGGUUCGGUAAGUCAGGUGUGAAAACUUUGGGCUCAACCCAAAGCCUGCAUCUGAUACUGCUGUGACUAGAGUUCGGUAGGGGAGCGGGGAAUUCCUAGUGUAGCGGUGAAAUGCGCAGAUAUUAGGAGGAACACCGGUGGCGAAGGCGCCGCUCUGGGCCGAAACUGACGCUGAGGAGCGAAAGCGUGGGUAGCAAACAGGAUUAGAUACCCUGGUAGUCCACGCCGUAAACGUUGGGCACUAGGUGUGGGUCUCAACCAACGAGAUCCGCGCCGUCGCUAACGCAUUAAGUGCCCCGCCUGGGGAGUACGGCCGCAAGGUUAAAACUCAAAUGAAUUGAACGG